AUAAAACUCUUAAUUUUAACAAAUAGGAAAAGUAAACAUCUUAUAAUAAAUUACAAGAAAUUUCAAAAGAAAAUUAUAAAAAGAAUUGAAACAUCUUAGUACAUAAUAAAGAUACAUAAGAUAGUAGUGGCGAACGAACUCUUAAAAAAUACUAAAUCCAUGAUUUUACAUAAAAAAUUUUGCUUUUACCUAUAAUAAAAGUACUGUGAAGGAAAUUUAAAUUUAAUUAAGUUUUAUCAGUGAAAGUCACUUACCUUUUGUAUAAUGGACUUACAAGAAAAUAUAUUAGCAAGCUACAAGGCUUAAGAACUUAAAUUAGUUAAUAUUACCCGAAACCAAGUGAUCUAAUUGUGAGCAGCUCAAAGAGCUAACUAGUGAAUGUAGAAAAAUUUUUAGAAGACUUGCAAUUAGCAGCGAAAAACUAAACGAACUUGGAUAUAGCUGGUUCUCUAUGAAAAUUAUAUAAGUAAUACUAUUUAUUUUAAGGCAGACAAUUAGUUAUAACAUUAAUUGUCCAAAGGAAAAAAAUCCAAAUUAGAAAUUUACGGAUCCAAUCGUAAUAUUACGAAAAAAGUUACACUAAUCACAGUAAAAAAGUGGGCUUAGAAACUGCCAUCUUUUAAAGAGUACGUAAUAGUUAAUUUAACAAAGACUCUACUUUUUUAAUAAUAUUUAACUUACUACCGAAAAUUCUAAUUUACAAGUAAUAGAGCUCUUUAUAGUUAUUUUGUGAAUUCUAUAAAAAAGAUAAUGUAAGUAUGAAUACCAAUUAAUUUAUUCCUAAAAAUUCUUAUUUUACCAUGAAUAAGGUUAAUCAAUAUCUCACCUACCUAGGAUUAAAAAUUAUUAACUCCAAGAAAACUAAUUUUGAUUUAAUGUAUAAUCUCAAUCAAGAAGGAAUAAAAAAAAUGAAAAAUUUUUUCUAAGUAACUCGGCAAAAUCGAAUAUCGACUGUUUACCAAAAACAUAGCCCCAGAAAAUAUCUGAGGUGUGACCUGCCCAGUGGUUUUUAACAAAAAUUUGAUAAUAACUUUUUAAUAAAACUAAAAGGACGCGGUAACCUUGACCGUGAUAAUGUAGCAUAAUCACUCGCCAUUUAAUUGAUGGAUAGUAUGAAUGGUUAAACGAAUAUUCCACUGUCUUAGGAAGAAUCAAAGGAAAUUGAAAUAAUAGUUAAGAUGCUAUUUAAAAUUGUAAGACGAAAAGACCCUAUAGAGCUUCACUAUAAACUCUUUUAAUACACCAAAAAAUAAAAUUUUUAAGUCAAAGAGUCUGGUAGUUUAGUUGGGGCGACUAUUUUCUAAAUUUAACGAAAACAAGCAAUAUCAAUAAUAAAUUUACUGUAUAACUAAAAAAUUUAACAGUUACAAAAGUAGGCUAUAAUGACCCGUUGUAAUACAAAAAUAAAACCAACGAUCAAUUGAUAAAAGCUACCUUAGGGAUAACAGGAUAAUUUUAUUUUAGAGUCCUUAUCGAAAAUAAAGUUUGUCACCUCUAUGUUGAAUUAAGAUAUCCUGAUAAUGCAGCAGUUAUCAAAGGUAGGUCUGUUCGACCUUUAAAAUCUUACAUGAUUUGAGUUCAUUCCGUCGCAAGACAGGAAGGUUUCUAUCUACAAUUAACAACCCCAUAAGAAUCCUUAGUACGAAAGGAAUUGGAUAAUCAAAAACCCAUUAAACUCAUGUUUUAGAAAAAAAUCUGAAAGCCUCUAAAAAUUUUU
rnacentral:rRNA from 1 species